AGAUUAAGUUAUUAAGGGCGCACGGUGGAUGCCUUGGCACUAGAAGCCGAUGAAGGACGUUACUAACGACGAUAUGCUUUGGGGAGCUGUAAGUAAGCUUUGAUCCAGAGAUUUCCGAAUGGGGAAACCCAGCAUGAGUUAUGUCAUGUUAUCGAUAUGUGAAUACAUAGCAUAUCAGAAGGCACACCCGGAGAACUGAAACAUCUUAGUACCCGGAGGAAGAGAAAGAAAAUUCGAUUCCCUUAGUAGCGGCGAGCGAAACGGGAAGAGCCCAAACCAACAAGCUUGCUUGUUGGGGUUGUAGGACACUCUAUACGGAGUUACAAAGGACGACAUUAGACGAAUCAUCUGGAAAGAUGAAUCAAAGAAGGUAAUAAUCCUGUAGUCGAAAAUGUUGUCUCUCUUGAGUGGAUCCUGAGUACGACGGAGCACGUGAAAUUCCGUCGGAAUCUGGGAGGACCAUCUCCUAAGGCUAAAUACUCUCUAGUGACCGAUAGUGAACCAGUACCGUGAGGGAAAGGUGAAAAGCACCCCGGAAGGGGAGUGAAAUAGAACCUGAAACCGUGUGCUUACAAGUAGUCAGAGCCCGUUAAUGGGUGAUGGCGUGCCUUUUGUAGAAUGAACCGGCGAGUUACGAUUUGAUGCAAGGUUAAGCAGUAAAUGUGGAGCCGUAGCGAAAGCGAGUCUGAAUAGGGCGUUUAGUAUUUGGUCGUAGACCCGAAACCAGGUGAUCUACCCUUGGUCAGGUUGAAGUUCAGGUAACACUGAAUGGAGGACCGAACCGACUUACGUUGAAAAGUGAGCGGAUGAACUGAGGGUAGCGGAGAAAUUCCAAUCGAACCUGGAGAUAGCUGGUUCUCUCCGAAAUAGCUUUAGGGCUAGCCUCAAGUGAUGAUUAUUGGAGGUAGAGCACUGUUUGGACGAGGGGCCCCUCUCGGGUUACCGAAUUCAGACAAACUCCGAAUGCCAAUUAAUUUAACUUGGGAGUCAGAACAUGGGUGAUAAGGUCCGUGUUCGAAAGGGAAACAGCCCAGACCACCAGCUAAGGUCCCAAAAUAUAUGUUAAGUGGAAAAGGAUGUGGCGUUGCCCAGACAACUAGGAUGUUGGCUUAGAAGCAGCCAUCAUUUAAAGAGUGCGUAAUAGCUCACUAGUCGAGUGACACUGCGCCGAAAAUGUACCGGGGCUAAACAUAUUACCGAAGCUGUGGAUUGUCCUUUGGACAAUGGUAGGAGAGCGUUCUAAGGGCGUUGAAGCAUGAUCGUAAGGACAUGUGGAGCGCUUAGAAGUGAGAAUGCCGGUGUGAGUAGCGAAAGACGGGUGAGAAUCCCGUCCGCCGAUUGACUAAGGUUUCCAGAGGAAGGCUCGUCCGCUCUGGGUUAGUCGGGUCCUAAGCUGAGGCCGACAGGCGUAGGCGAUGGAUAACAGGUUGAUAUUCCUGUACCACCUAUAAUCGUUUUAAUCGAUGGGGGGACGCAGUAGGAUAGGCGAAGCGUGCGAUUGGAUUGCACGUCUAAGCAGUAAGGCUGAGUAUUAGGCAAAUCCGGUACUCAUUAAGGCUGAGCUGUGAUGGGGAGAAGACAUUGUGUCUUCGAGUCGUUGAUUUCACACUGCCGAGAAAAGCCUCUAGAUAGAAAAUAGGUGCCCGUACCGCAAACCGACACAGGUAGUCAAGAUGAGAAUUCUAAGGUGAGCGAGCGAACUCUCGUUAAGGAACUCGGCAAAAUGACCCCGUAACUUCGGGAGAAGGGGUGCUCUUUAGGGUUAACGCCCAGAAGAGCCGCAGUGAAUAGGCCCAAGCGACUGUUUAUCAAAAACACAGGUCUCUGCUAAACCGUAAGGUGAUGUAUAGGGGCUGACGCCUGCCCGGUGCUGGAAGGUUAAGAGGAGUGGUUAGCUUCUGCGAAGCUACGAAUCGAAGCCCCAGUAAACGGCGGCCGUAACUAUAACGGUCCUAAGGUAGCGAAAUUCCUUGUCGGGUAAGUUCCGACCCGCACGAAAGGCGUAACGAUUUGGGCACUGUCUCAACGAGAGACUCGGUGAAAUCAUAGUACCUGUGAAGAUGCAGGUUACCCGCGACAGGACGGAAAGACCCCGUGGAGCUUUACUGUAGCCUGAUAUUGAAAUUCGGCACAGCUUGUACAGGAUAGGUAGGAGCCUUUGAAACGUGAGCGCUAGCUUACGUGGAGGCGCUGGUGGGAUACUACCCUAGCUGUGUUGGCUUUCUAACCCGCACCACUUAUCGUGGUGGGAGACAGUGUCAGGCGGGCAGUUUGACUGGGGCGGUCGCCUCCUAAAAGGUAACGGAGGCGCUCAAAGGUUCCCUCAGAAUGGUUGGAAAUCAUUCAUAGAGUGUAAAGGCAUAAGGGAGCUUGACUGCGAGACCUACAAGUCGAGCAGGGUCGAAAGACGGACUUAGUGAUCCGGUGGUUCCGCAUGGAAGGGCCAUCGCUCAACGGAUAAAAGCUACCCCGGGGAUAACAGGCUUAUCUCCCCCAAGAGUUCACAUCGACGGGGAGGUUUGGCACCUCGAUGUCGGCUCAUCGCAUCCUGGGGCUGUAGUCGGUCCCAAGGGUUGGGCUGUUCGCCCAUUAAAGCGGUACGCGAGCUGGGUUCAGAACGUCGUGAGACAGUUCGGUCCCUAUCCGUCGUGGGCGUAGGAAAUUUGAGAGGAGCUGUCCUUAGUACGAGAGGACCGGGAUGGACAUACCUCUGGUGUACCAGUUGUCGUGCCAACGGCAUAGCUGGGUAGCUAUGUGUGGACGGGAUAAGUGCUGAAAGCAUCUAAGCAUGAAGCCCCCCUCAAGAUGAGAUUUCCCAACUUCGGUUAUAAGAUCCCUCAAAGAUGAUGAGGUUAAUAGGUUCGAGGUGGAAGCAUGGUGACAUGUGGAGCUGACGAAUACUAAUCGAUCGAAGACUUAAUCAAAUU
rnacentral:rRNA from 1 species